GACGAACGCUGGCGGCGUGCCUAAUACAUGCAAGUCGAGCGGAAGCUGGCGAGCUUGCUCUUCAACUUUAGCGGCGGACGGGUGAGUAACACGUGGGCAACCUGCUCUGCAGAUCGGGAUAACUCCGGGCAACCGGCGCUACUACCGAAUAGUUUUCCCCACCUCCUGGUGGCGUACGGAAAGACGGUUUCGGCUGUCACUGCAGGAUGGGCCCGCGGCGCAUUAGCGAGUUGGUGGGGGAACGACCCACCAAGGCGACGAUGCGUAGCCGACCUGAGAGGGUGAUCGGCCACACUGGGACUGCGACACGGCCCAGACUCCUACGGGAGGCAGCAGUAGGAAAUCUUCCGCAAUGGACGAAAGUCUGACGGAGCAACGCCGCGUGAGUGACGAAGGUCUUCGGAUCGUAAAACUCUGUUGUGAGGGAAGAACAAGUACCAACUAACUACUGGUACCUUGACGGUACCUCACCAGAAAACCACGGCUAACUACGUGCCAGCCGCCGCGGUAACAC
rnacentral:rRNA from 1 species